UACGUAGGGUGCGAGCGUUAAUCGGAAUUACUGGGCGUAAAGCGUGCGCAGGCGGUUUUUUAAGACAGGCGUGAAAUCCCCGGGCUUAACCUGGGAACUGCGCUUGUGACUGGAAGGCUAGAGUACGGCAGAGGGGGGUGGAAUUCCCAGUGUAGCGGUGAAAUGCGUAGAUAUUGGGAGGAACACCGGUGGCGAAGGCGGCCCCCUGGACCGGUACUGACGCUGAGGCGCGAAAGCGUGGGUAGCAAACGGG
rnacentral:rRNA from 1 species